rnacentral:rRNA from 1 species
GACGAACGCUGGCGGCGUGCCUAAUACAUGCAAGUAGAACGCACAGUUUAUACCGUAGCUUGCUACACCAUAGACUGUGAGUUGCGAACGGGUGAGUAACGCGUAGGUAACCUGCCUGGUAGCGGGGGAUAACUAUUGGAAACGAUAGCUGAUACCGCAUAAUAUUAAUUAUUGCAUGAUAAUUAAUUGAAAGGUGCAAUUGCACCACUACCAGAUGGACCUGCGUUGUAUUAGCUAGUAGGUGAGGUAACGGCUCACCUAGGCGACGAUACAUAGCCGACCUGAGAGGGUGAUCGGCCACACUGGGACUGAGACACGGCCCAGACUCCUACGGGAGGAAGCAGUAGGGAAUCUUCGGCAAUGGACGAAAGUCUGACCGAGCAACGCCGCGUGAGUGAAGAAGGUUUUCGGAUCGUAAAGCUCUGUUGUAAGAGAAGAACGGGUGUGAGAGUGGAAAGUUCACACUGUGACGGUAGCUUACCAGAAAGAGACGGCUAACUACGUG